CCCAGGUAGGGGGAAGGGUGUGGUGGGGUGCACCUCCUUCCCCCCAGCAAAGGACAAGAUGGACCAAAGCCAGCUUAUCUGGGAUUGGAGACCCUCACUGGGGCAAGGCAUGAUGGCCAGGAGAAGCCCAGAGCAGCAUGCUGGUUACUUUCAACCAGACAGCUUUCCCAGCUCCCGGGCAGUGAUGCCAGCAGACAGCUGUCAUGGGAAGGAGCCCAAAAUAACCCAGACAGCUGGGGUGAGGGGGUGCCACGGACACAGGCGCUGGGCUGGAAGUCAAGACACCUGGAACCCUGUCCUGGCUGCUGGUGGUGGCCUUGUGACCUUGGGCGAGUCACUUCUACUCUCUGGGUAGGUGGGGGAUCCCAAAUCACAGCCCAUCAUGGAAAAGCCUGUGGAGCUGGGGACAGGCCACCAUCCCAACUCAAACUACACAGGAGGAAAAACUGCUGGCUCCCCGCCUGCCGAAAGCCAGUGUUCCCUUUGCCCUGAGGCUUUGCCACGUGCUGGGGGCGGGCCGGUGGGGGAGGAGCUCGAAGACAGCCCAGCCCCCACUCCCUGCAGCCACACUGGAAUGGAAGCCAACUAGUGUGAAGCCUGAAUGUGAGGCCAGCCCCCUUAAUCGCACUUAAUCCUCCCUCCACCCUUUGCAGCAUCCAUCAUUAUCAUUUCACACAGGAGACUUGUCCAAGGUUCACCAGCACGGCGAGAUUCAAGCCCACGGCCACCUGACUUAGAGCCUCCCUUGAUUAAGCACCAAGAUGCCUGGGUCAAGCUCUACAGGUUCCCCCAAACGUCAGUUUAGCCCUCACACUGAGGGGUGGGGUAAUAGUGGGCAGGGCUGAUCCGACACGGAAGCCAAGCUGCGGCCCAAAUCAGGAGG